rnacentral:misc_RNA from 1 species
AAGUCGUAACAAGGUCUCCGUAGGUGAACCUGCGGAAGGAUCAUUAACACUUUUUAUCCAAUAUAAAAACUAAACGUGAACUUUUCCCCUCCCUAUAUCAAAACUUUUGUAUUGAUAUAGGCUAACCUUUUAUUUUAUUUAAAACCACUUUAAAUUUUUAUAAGUCUUUGUAACAAAGGACUGACUAACUAAAAAUUUUACUUAAGAUGUCACAUGUUGAUCUCUUAAUUAAUAUUUUUUCUUUACGAAAUAAAUAUUAGUAUAUAAGAACAACUCUUAGCAAUGGAUAUCUUGGUUCUC